CUCACAAGAAGGCAAGUAAGUAAAUGCAAGUUGUAUUAGGCAGGGGAGGGGAAGAAGAAUGUAAAGGAAAAGAAACUGCCUGAGGGCUGCAUAAUCACAUUGUUCUGCUGUGCUGACUGACCCUCAAGAAGAGAUGUUACAAGCUGCUGAACUUGUAGAAGACAACAGUGUGCUGAGAAGGAAAUGACCUUGCCAUCUCUUCAUCAAAUGUGUGUGACAGACAAGGAGAUGAAAACUGCUGCAGAAGGCAGACCGUAAUGCUGCUAAAAUCCUUGUGGAGAAACCCUGUCCCACCUGUGACUGCAACAUCUGCUGCCUAGCAGUUAGACUGCUGGCAAGGGAAUAUGUCCCUGUGGCUCAUUGCAGAGGAAAGUUGUUGCUCAGCGUUCAGCCCCAGAAAGGCCCCUAUGGGUUUGCCACAUCCGGACUGACACAGUUGCUGCUCCCUUUUCACAUUGCUGCUGUGGUUUAAAAGCAACAUUUAGUAUGCCCAUUUAUGGUAAAGAGGAUGGGCCUUCUUUUGGUAAAGGGGAGGCCAUGUGCAGGCACUUUCCACAGUGGAAGUAUGGCGAGAUAUUUCCUAGUGAGAACAAUGUGAUUUUUUAAAAAUUAGAAAGGUUUAAGGGCUCGGUGAGGGACAGCUGAAAAUCUUGAUUUGGGUAGGUUCUGAAAGUGCCAUAUUGCUGUUCAAAGAAGCUCUGUUUUUUCUGAUUUUACCUGAUUGGCAGCUGCAAAAUCACACCCAAAAUGUUGAAAUGUGAUUGGGUAUUGAUGGCUCUCUGCUGCUUUUUUAAAAUAAAUGUAGUGCGAAAGACCACCUUUGCACUAGGGA